CGGGCGCGCGGGCCGUCUUUUCGCGCGGAAACCCGGGUGUUGUGGACUGUACCACUGUAGCUAUGUACAGGUUUCUGAAUCUGAUGUAAUAUCCUGCAGUGCUCUGGAAAGACUUGGCAGACAUCCCAGCAGCACAGCCUCCUGGGGCUGAUUCAGCCAGCGUUCCCACCCAGGAAUCCUGGAUGUCUGACAGGAAACAGGCCCAAACUCCCAAGGCCUCUAUAAGUCAGCCUCCCCCCUCACCCCAAGCAUCCCUCUUACCCAGAAAAACCUCUCCCGGGGCUUUUCCUUUAUGCUUCCCUCAGACAAGCGCUUACAAACAGGCCAUCUUCUCCACCACACCCCACUUUUAGCCCCCGCACUCUGUCUUCUGCCCAGCUUCCCAUCCUUUUCAUGUCUACCUUUAGCCUUAAAGCAAAGCUAUAUUUUCAUCAGAUGGAUUCACAAUAAAAAAAGAGACAACUCAGGACAUGCAGAAAAGUUGCAGCUGCCACACUGGUUG